rnacentral:tRNA from 1 species
GGGGAUGUAGCUCAGUUGGGAGAGCGCCAGAAUCGCAAUCUGGAGGUCGGGGGUUCGAAUCCCCCCAUCUCCA